AAGUCGUAACAAGGUUUCCGUAGGUGAACCUGCGGAAGGAUCAUUAUUGAAUUGUUUGUCUGAACUGGCUUGCCAGUUUGACAUCCAUAUCCUUCACACCUGUGCACUGUUGGAUGACCAGAUCACUACCUUUUGGUAGGAGUCUGCAAGUCCACUUUUAUACUUAACAUUAAUGUAACAAAUGUAGUCUUAUUAUAACAUAAUAAA
rnacentral:misc_RNA from 1 species